AGACUUUGAUCAUGGCUCAGGACGAACGCUGGCGGCGCGCCUAACACAUGCAAGUCGAGCGUGAAGCUAUCAAAGGAUCCUUCGGGAGAAUUUGAUAGUGGAAAGCGGCGGACGGGUGAGUAACGCGUGGGAAACCUGCCCUAUACAGGGGGAUAGCCUCGGGAAACCGGGAUUAAUACCCCAUAAAACCUUAACACCGCAUGGUGAAUAGGUCAAAACUUAGGUGGUAUAGGAUGGUCCCGCGUCCCAUUAGCUAGUUGGUGAGGUAACAGCUCACCAAGGCGACGAUGGGUAGCCGGCCUGAGAGGGUGAACGGCCACACUGGAACUGAGACACGGUCCAGACUCCUACGGGAGGCAGCAGUGGGGAAUAUUGCACAAUGGGGGAAACCCUGAUGCAGCGACCCCGCGUGAGCGAUGAAGGCUUUCGAGUCGUAAAGCUCUGUCCUAAGGGAAAAUAAUGACCG
rnacentral:rRNA from 1 species